GUUUACGGCCAUACUACCCUGAUAACGCCCGAUUUCAUUCUGAUCUCGGAAGCUAAGCAGAGGCAGGCCUGGUUUGUACUUGGAUGGGAGACCACCUGGGAAUACCAGGUGCUGUAAGCU